GUGCUUACUUGGGCAGUACAUGUACUUAAAUUGUAAUGAGAUAGAGAAGAUUAGCAUGGCCCCUGUGAAAGGAUGACACACAAAUUUGUGAAGCAUUCCAUAUUUUA
ensembl:snRNA U6 U6 spliceosomal RNA